rnacentral:misc_RNA from 1 species
UUAAGUUCAGCGGGUAUCCCUACCUGAUCCGAGGUCAACCUUGUAUAAAAUUCUCCCUGAGGGGAGGCAGACCGUGUCCCGUGAACCCACGAUCCGGUACGUGCUCGGUGAAGAACUCAGUGUACCGGGGGUCCAACGAGGCCGCCGUCAUUGUCUUUGGGAGGGGUGCGAGGGUGCCCGCGGGGGCUUCUCCACCAGCC